GGGGACUGUCAUGGCUGGAGUUCACAGGACAGAGUGCUGGAGAGGAGAGAGCUGCACAGAGAGAACUUGAGAGGCCUGCAAAGGGUUCCCCUCAAGUAUUCGGCUGAGUACUAAUUAGUACCUGUCUGUGAGGAAAUUACCUGAAGCUGCGGAAAGAAACCCCUAAAUAUAUUAGGGGUAGCAGGAUCUGGUGCUCACACAGAGCUGAGAAUAUUUGCCCUUCUCACCAGCCAGACUGGAAAACCCCAUGAUUCACAGGACAUUAGGUAUCCAGUUCAGCACCUCACACAGAGCAAGUACUCAAUAAAGGUUUGUCGCAUGAAUAAAUGAUGAAGACUUUCCUUUCUGGCUUCCAGUGGAAGAUGUCAAAAGAACCAGGAUAUUAUGUGCAUGCUCCUGAGGGAAACUGACCUUUUCGGGAUUCAAUGAUGACUCAGUUCUUUAAAGAAACCAUCAAAGAUGAUGAUUGACACAUGAGUGGGAUGCUUGUAGAUAACAAGAGCAGAGAAAUAAGCCAUGGGAUCAGCUGUGCAGAUAGUACCCAAAUACAUCUGUUCUGUGGGCUUGUGAUGCCUCUUCAUGCUUACCAACAUGCUUUUCUCUUUUUUCACUACUCUACUUCUUUCUUUUCAUUUUUUAUGAUUAGGUCAGUGAAUGAUAAGCACCUGCCUCUUACAAAUAUUUUAGACCAGUGCUUCUCAAACUUUAAUGUGUUUAUGUUGCUAAAGUGCAGAUUCUCAUUUAACAGCCCAG
rnacentral:lncRNA from 1 species